GCGGAGGGAUCAUUAAAGAGUUUUCUACAACUCCCAAACCCCUGUGAACAUACCUUUUGUUGCCUCGGCAGGCCUCGCCCUACCCUGUGGCGCCCCUACGUUGUAGGGCCUACCCGGGGAGAGUGCGGGGGACCCUGCCGGCGGCCCGCCCAACUCUGUUUAGCACUGAAUUCUGAACAUGUAACUAAAUCAGUUAAAACUUUCAACAACGGAUCUCUUGGUUCUGGCAUCGAUGAAGAACGCAGCGAAAUGCGAUAAGUAAUGUGAAUUGCAGAAUUCAGUGAAUCAUCGAAUCUUUGAACGCAUAUUGCGCCCAUUAGUAUUCUAGUGGGCAUGCCUGUUCGAGCGUCAUUUCAACCCUUAAGCCCCUGUUGCUUAGUGUUGGGAGCCUACGGCAGCGUAGCUCCCCAAAGUUAGUGGCGUGGUCGGUUCACACUCCAGACGUAGUAGAUUCUCACCUCGCCUGUAGUCGGACCGGUCCCCUGCCGUAAAACACCCCAAUUUCUAGAAGGUGA
rnacentral:rRNA from 1 species